rnacentral:rRNA from 1 species
GGCGUGUCCUAGGCAGCAAUCGGGAAUUUUGGACAAUGGGGGAAACCCUGAUCCACGCAUCCCGCGUGUGCGUGAAGGCCUUCGGGUUGUAAAGCACUUUUGGCAGGAAAGAAACGUCGCGGGUUAAUACCCCGCGGAACUGACGGUACCUGCAGAAUAAGCACCGGC